ACCUGGCCGGCUCAGUCGGUAGAGCCUGCGACUCGAGAUCUCGGGGUCAUGAGUUCAAGCCCCAUGUUGGGUA
rnacentral:tRNA from 1 species